rfam:Dipodomys ordii contig_45318, whole genome shotgun sequence.
GUGGGGUACGGAGACAUUUACCCCAAGACCCUCCUGGGGAAGAUCGUCGGGGGGCUGUGCUGCAUCGCGGGGGUGCUGGUGAUUGCUCUGCCCAUCCCCAUCAUCGUCAAUAAC